GCUGAAGGAUGAGUCCGCGUACCAUUAGCUAGUUGGUAGGGUAAUGGCCUACCAAGGCGACGAUGGUUAGCUGGUCUGAGAGGAUGAUCAGCCACACUGGAACUGAGACACGGUCCAGACUCCUACGGGAGGCAGCAGUGAGGAAUAUUGCGCAAUGGGGGCAACCCUGACGCAGCAACGCCGCGUGAGUGAGGAAGGUUUUCGGACCGUAAAGCUCUGUCGAGCGGGAAGAAAUGCAUGGUGGCUAAUAUCCAUCAUGCUUGACGGUACCGCUAAAGGAAGCACCGGCUAACUCCGUGCCAGCAGCCGCGGUAAUACGGGGGGUGCGAGCGUUGUUCGGAAUUAUUGGGCGUAAAGAGCGUGUAGGCGGCCGAAUAAGUCAGAUGUGAAAUCCCUGGGCUUAACCCAGGACGUGCAUUUGAAACUAUUCGGCUUGAGUAGGGGAGAGGAAAGUGGAAUUCCUGGUGUAGAGGUGAAAUUCGUAGAUAUCAGGAGGAACACCGAUGGCGAAGGCGACUUUCUGGCCCUAUACUGACGCUGAGACGCGAGAGCGUGGGUAGCAAACAGGAUUAGAUACCCUGGUAGUCCACGCUGUAAACGAUGUUCACUAGGUGUUGGGGGUAUUGACCCUCUCAGUGCCGCAGCUAACGCA
rnacentral:rRNA from 1 species